CUGUGGAUCUUUUUUUUUUUUUUUAUGUUCUCCAAUCCUAGUGAAGAUCAGGUUAUUAGCUAAAAGUAAGGGGCUGGUGUUGAGUCUUUGAAAUCAUCCAGAUUACAAGUGACAAAAACUAAAACAUUACAUUGGUGGUUAUAUUUCAAUCAGUAAUUAAAUUCUUCAGAGGACUGCACCAAUUUCAGUGGAAUUUGUGUCCAUUUCUGUUAAUUGGACCAAACUUUGAGUGGAUUUUAUUGUACAUUUCUGUUAAUUGGACCAACUCUAACUUUGUGGUACUAAUAAAUGGAGAUUGUCAGAAAAGAAGCAUAACAUUUAAGUACAAAUGUCAUUUGCGCCACCAAAUAAUUUUAUAAAGUUACCCAUCACUUUGUCACUUAGGAUGGUGUUGGCUCUUACGAGAUAUGUUUAUCAUAAAUUUCUCUAAAAUAAUAACUUUGUAAAAUAUUUUAGAGCAGGUAGUGAAAUCACUAUAAUGUUACAACAUAGAUCCAGAUGACGAUUUGAUAGAAUUAAAAAAUAUAUCAACACCAUGUAUCAUAAUUAAUCAAGGCUGCACCAAAUUAUAUAUAUAUAUAUAUAUACAUUUAUAGUUAUUGUAUAAAGCAUUAAUGAUUACAGGUUUGACAAUAAAUAAGCCACUAUAUCAAUGAAAAUAUAAAUAAAGGAGGUCUAGUUAAUAACACUUGGACAUUGUAGACAAAAGCUAGGCCUACAUUAGGAUUAUAUAGCUUGCCCUUCAGACAGUGGUUGGUCCUAAGUUUAGAAUAGUCACACUAUCACAAUAAAUAUAAUACAAAUGUCUUACAAUUAAAAAUAAGAAAUAAAACGCAUUUUAAAAAUUGUAUAAAGGAUAUUCAUUUUAUGGCACUUUGUAAGCCAACAAAAAAAUAAAAUAGUGAAACUAGAAAAUCUGUGGUCAAAAUAAAAAUCUUUAUGUCAAAACUGGUAUCAUUAAAAAAAACGUUUCAAUGAAACCCAUUUCAAAUCUUGCGAUCUAUUAAUGUAAAACUCAUCUGUUUCUAUGGCCGAAGGUUGCAGAGGUUGUCAGGUGGUCAGCAUAAGGACUAACCGCCCCUAUUUGAGUUUGGUGGACUCCAUCAAGAUUCCAAGACAACUAGCUCCCCCCC